GACGGCGGCGUGGGCGCUGCCUCAGGGGCCGACUCCGCCGCUGGUGGGAGAGCUGAGCCCCGCGAGGGGGUGGGGAGCUGCGUCAACUUCUUGCCCGCGGUGGUCUCUUUCCGCCUCCCCGCCCCACGCAGGCGCACUGGGCCCAUUUUCCCCACCCACCUGAGCCGCACCAAGCCAAGCCUCCCUCUUUCAAUCCUCCCGGCCGGGGGUGCUCUCAAGCCCCCCUUCCGGGCCCCUCUCCCCACGGCCCUGAAGCUCCUGCGCACCUGGGCUGAGGGAGCCUGUGGGCACCCCCGGAGUCGGGACAUCAGUGCUGUUUGGUGUUGUCACAGCGACCGGAAGGAUCUCGAUGGAGACAGCAUCUCCGGGUCCCCGCAGAAUGCGGAUUAACCCCUUCUCCUCCAGCUCCUCCACCUUCAGCUCUAGGGCCGAGGGCCGCGCCAGGGUCGCGGGAGGCACUUUCUCAGGCUCCGGGGGCCGCCUGGAGGUGCCCAUGGCGGUCGACUCGCUGUAGCGUUCCUGCGGGCGCCGGGGAAUGGCUCAGUGCCCACCAGCAGGCCUCCUGGCACAGCAUACCCCCAUCCUCCUCCUGGCACGGACGGGGAUGUGAAACCUAGACGCCCCUCUGGUCUGUCCUUGGGAACCCCGGCCGGCUCCCAGCCCGACCCACGGCCCCAUCCUCACCCGCAGGGUCUCCAGCUCCUUGCGGGCCUGGCUUAGCUGCUUUUCCAGCUCCGCGAUCUUGGCCAUGGAUUCGUUCUCCGCGUCCCGAAGCCGCUCUGUCAACUGUGGUACCGGCACAUGUGCCUGAGGCCACGUGGGGCCCUGUAACAGCCCUUCCUGGGGACCAGAGCCGCUGAACUGGGGGCAGGGCCGGCUCUCACCAGCGCCACCUGCUCCUGCAGCUCCUCCAUGUGCUCCAGCACUGCAUUCUUCGUCUCCGUGUCCUCCAGCAGAGCACCCACAUCAAAAACAUUGUCCAGGGUUAUGCAACAUCACCAUGAUCUAAUCCCAGAACAUUUUCAUUAUAUCCAAAAGAAACCCCAUACCCUUUAGCAGUUACUCCCCAUUCUCCACUCCCCCCAGCCCUGGCAACCACUAAUCUAUUUUCUGUCUCUAUGGAUUUGCCCAUUCUGGACAUUUCCUAUAAAUGGAAU